UUAAGCGACUAAGCGUACACGGUGGAUGCCCUGGCAGUCAGAGGCGAUGAAGGACGUGCUAAUCUGCGAUAAGCGUCGGUAAGGUGAUAUGAACCGUUAUAACCGGCGAUUUCCGAAUGGGGAAACCCAGUGUGAUUCGUCACACUAUCAUUAACUGAAUCCAUAGGUUAAUGAGGCGAACCGGGGGAACUGAAACAUCUAAGUACCCCGAGGAAAAGAAAUCAACCGAGAUUCCCCCAGUAGCGGCGAGCGAACGGGGAGCAGCCCAGAGCCUGAAUCAGUGUGUGUGUUAGUGGAAGCGUCUGGAAAGGCGCGCGAUACAGGGUGACAGCCCCGUACACAAAAAUGCACAUGCUGUGAGCUCGAUGAGUAGGGCGGGACACGUGGUAUCCUGUCUGAAUAUGGGGGGACCAUCCUCCAAGGCUAAAUACUCCUGACUGACCGAUAGUGAACCAGUACCGUGAGGGAAAGGCGAAAAGAACCCCGGCGAGGGGAGUGAAAAAGAACCUGAAACCGUGUACGUACAAGCAGUGGGAGCACAGAGCAAUCUGUGUGACUGCGUACCUUUUGUAUAAUGGGUCAGCGACUUAUAUUCUGUAGCAAGGUUAACCGAAUAGGGGAGCCGAAGGGAAACCGAGUCUUAACUGGGCGUUAAGUUGCAGGGUAUAGACCCGAAACCCGGUGAUCUAGCCAUGGGCAGGUUGAAGGUUGGGUAACACUAACUGGAGGACCGAACCGACUAAUGUUGAAAAAUUAGCGGAUGACUUGUGGCUGGGGGUGAAAGGCCAAUCAAACCGGGAGAUAGCUGGUUCUCCCCGAAAGCUAUUUAGGUAGCGCCUCGUGAAUUCAUCUCCGGGGGUAGAGCACUGUUUCGGCAAGGGGGUCAUCCCGACUUACCAACCCGAUGCAAACUGCGAAUACCGGAGAAUGUUAUCACGGGAGACACACGGCGGGUGCUAACGUCCGUCGUGAAGAGGGAAACAACCCAGACCGCCAGCUAAGGUCCCAAAGUCAUGGUUAAGUGGGAAACGAUGUGGGAAGGCCCAGACAGCCAGGAUGUUGGCUUAGAAGCAGCCAUCAUUUAAAGAAAGCGUAAUAGCUCACUGGUCGAGUCGGCCUGCGCGGAAGAUGUAACGGGGCUAAACCAUGCACCGAAGCUGCGGCAGCGACGCUGAUGCGUUGUUGGGUAGGGGAGCGUUCUGUAAGCCUGCGAAGGUGUGCUGUGAGGCAUGCUGGAGGUAUCAGAAGUGCGAAUGCUGACAUAAGUAACGAUAAAGCGGGUGAAAAGCCCGCUCGCCGGAAGACCAAGGGUUCCUGUCCAACGUUAAUCGGGGCAGGGUGAGUCGACCCCUAAGGCGAGGCCGAAAGGCGUAGUCGAUGGGAAACAGGUUAAUAUUCCUGUACUUGGUGUUACUGCGAAGGGGGGACGGAGAAGGCUAUGUUGGCCGGGCGACGGUUGUCCCGGUUUAAGCGUGUAGGCUGGUUUUCCAGGCAAAUCCGGAAAAUCAAGGCUGAGGCGUGAUGACGAGGCACUACGGUGCUGAAGCAACAAAUGCCCUGCUUCCAGGAAAAGCCUCUAAGCAUCAGGUAACAUCAAAUCGUACCCCAAACCGACACAGGUGGUCAGGUAGAGAAUACCAAGGCGCUUGAGAGAACUCGGGUGAAGGAACUAGGCAAAAUGGUGCCGUAACUUCGGGAGAAGGCACGCUGAUAUGUAGGUGAAGCGACUUGCUCGGAUGGAGCUGAAAUCAGUCGAAGAUACCAGCUGGCUGCAACUGUUUAUUAAAAACACAGCACUGUGCAAACACGAAAGUGGACGUAUACGGUGUGACGCCUGCCCGGUGCCGGAAGGUUAAUUGAUGGGGUCAGCGCAAGCGAAGCUCUUGAUCGAAGCCCCGGUAAACGGCGGCCGUAACUAUAACGGUCCUAAGGUAGCGAAAUUCCUUGUCGGGUAAGUUCCGACCUGCACGAAUGGCGUAAUGAUGGCCAGGCUGUCUCCACCCGAGACUCAGUGAAAUUGAACUCGCUGUGAAGAUGCAGUGUACCCGCGGCAAGACGGAAAGACCCCGUGAACCUUUACUAUAGCUUGACACUGAACAUUGAGCCUUGAUGUGUAGGAUAGGUGGGAGGCUUUGAAGUGUGGACGCCAGUCUGCAUGGAGCCGACCUUGAAAUACCACCCUUUAAUGUUUGAUGUUCUAACGUGGACCCGUAAUCCGGGUUGCGGACAGUGUCUGGUGGGUAGUUUGACUGGGGCGGUCUCCUCCUAAAGAGUAACGGAGGAGCACGAAGGUUGGCUAAUCCUGGUCGGACAUCAGGAGGUUAGUGCAAUGGCAUAAGCCAGCUUGACUGCGAGCGUGACGGCGCGAGCAGGUGCGAAAGCAGGUCAUAGUGAUCCGGUGGUUCUGAAUGGAAGGGCCAUCGCUCAACGGAUAAAAGGUACUCCGGGGAUAACAGGCUGAUACCGCCCAAGAGUUCAUAUCGACGGCGGUGUUUGGCACCUCGAUGUCGGCUCAUCACAUCCUGGGGCUGAAGUAGGUCCCAAGGGUAUGGCUGUUCGCCAUUUAAAGUGGUACGCGAGCUGGGUUUAGAACGUCGUGAGACAGUUCGGUCCCUAUCUGCCGUGGGCGCUGGAGAACUGAGGGGGGCUGCUCCUAGUACGAGAGGACCGGAGUGGACGCAUCACUGGUGUUCGGGUUGUCAUGCCAAUGGCACUGCCCGGUAGCUAAAUGCGGAAGAGAUAAGUGCUGAAAGCAUCUAAGCACGAAACUUGCCCCGAGAUGAGUUCUCCCUGACUCCUUGAGAGUCCUGAAGGAACGUUGAAGACGACGACGUUGAUAGGCCGGGUGUGUAAGCGCAGCGAUGCGUUGAGCUAACCGGUACUAAUGAACCGUGAGGCUUAACCUU
rnacentral:rRNA from 1 species